rnacentral:rRNA from 1 species
ACCUUAGAUGUUCUGGGCCGCACGCGCGCUACAAUGAUGAAUUCAACGAGUUUAUAACCUUGGUUGAAAAGCCUGGGUAAUCUUUUGAACUUUCGUCGUGAUGGGGCUAGACCCUUGCAAUUAUUGGUCUCCAACGAGGAAUUCCUAGUAAACGCAAGUCAUCAGCUUGCAUUGAUUACGUCCCUGCCCUUUGUACACACCGCCCGUCGCACCUACCGAUUGAAUGGUCCGGUGAAAUCUUCGGAUUGAGACUUUGAUUUGUUUACUCAAAACGCUGUUUCAAGAAGUUGAUUAAACCUUACCAUUUAGAGGAAGGUGAAGUCGUAACA